GUGGAUAAUAAAGUAAGUCACAAAUAAAAUAAAUAAUAAUUUCAAAAAAUUUUGAAUAAGACGAGUGGUCAAACGUUGCAAGCAAAAACUCAAAAUCUAUUAUAUUAUGGGACGGAGGGAGUAUUCAAUAAUACUUUCUCAUUAUUAUACUUCUGUGCCAUAUAAAUGAUAGAUAUAGUAAAGUAAUUGUUGGUCAAAGCCUUGUUCUAACAAAAACAAAUAUGCCUUGUAUUUUGAAAUAGGGGGAGUAUUCUACAAGAACAUGAGAUGGUGAUUCUUCCUGUUUGCCGUCGAAACCGUCGUUACUCGACACCUCGAAAUGCCUCGACGAAACUGCGCUGUCCACCAAACGUCAGCCCCUCAAAAUGACAGCUGUGGUAAGUUGAAUGCAUGUUGAUGGGAGGAUCAUUGUGGGGGCAACCUGUGGGAGGCAGCAAAGAUAUUCAGAUGAUGGCAGGCAGACUUUGGAGGGAGGAUUGCCAUGACCCAAUGGAAUAUCCAUGAAUCAGUGAUUCGGCAUGUCUCGGCCGUCGGUUGAAUCUAGGUGCUGACUGGUUUUGAGCCUUGAGAUCCCUGUGGAACUAUGGAUUCACUUCAUGGAUGGAUGAGUGUGGAUUCACUUCAUGGAUGGAUGAGGCAUGAGGAGCUGUAGAAGCAUCAAAAUUUUACCCACUUUUGACGACAAAAUCGCUAGUUAGUGGAAAUGUGAGUUUUCUUUGAUCCUUCUUGAAGCACUCCUCUUUUGUCAAAUCGAUGAACGCUGACAACAUUGCAAUGAAGGGAUUUAUGCUCAUACCCAUACUACAGGUUCAGAGUUGUUUUGUUAAUGAAUUAUUACUUGUCUAUAUAGUUCUCUGUGAAUUGACCAGUUGAUGACAAUUUGAGUUUCUGUACUCGAUUCCAAAUUCAAUGAAUAAUUCUUUCUAGGGGGAGGGUUGAUUACAA